rnacentral:rRNA from 1 species
CAAUAGCGUAUAUUAAAGUUGUUGCAGUUAAAAAGCUCGUAGUUGGAUUUCGGGGCAGCCUGGCUGGUCCGCCGCAAGGCGAGUACUGGUCAGCCGCCCUUCCUCUCGAAAGCCCCGACUGCUCUUCGUUGCAGUGGUCGGGUAGUUCGGGACGUUUACUUUGAAAAAAUUAGAGUGUUCAAGGCAGGCCUACGCCUGAAUACAUUAGCAUGGAAUAAUGGAAGAGGACCUCGGUCCUAUUUUGUUGGCUUCCAGGGCCGAAGUAAUGAUUAAGAGGGACAGUUGGGGGCAUUCGUAUUUAAUUGUCAGAGGUGAAAUUCUCGGAUUUAUGAAAGACGAACAACUGCGAAAGCAUUUGCCAAGGAUGUUUUCAUUAA